rnacentral:piRNA from 1 species
UUGGNGACUGCCAGCCAGGUCAGGGUGGGA